GCCUUCGUGGUGUAGUGGUCAGCACGCUCGACGCGUAACCGAGAGGUCCGUGGUUCGAUUCCCACCGGAGGCG
rfam:Stegodyphus mimosarum contig103592, whole genome shotgun sequence.